CAAUAGCGUAUAUUAAAGUUGUUGCAGUUAAACAGCUCGUAGUUGAAUUUCUGGUGGGCGCGCCGGUCUUCCAAGUGUUGUACUGGGCGCAGUCCGCCAUCCUUGUGGAGAGGGCUCGCAUUGAGUUGCGUGUCGGAUCUGCAUCAUUUACUGUGAAAAAAUUAGAGUGUUUAAAGCAGGCUGUCGCUUGAAUACAUUAGCAUGGAAUAAUAAGAUAGGACUUCGGUCUAUUUUGUUGGUUGCGAACCGAGGUAAUGAUUAAUAGGGAUAGUUGGGGGUAUUCAUAUUUAAUUGUCAGAGGUGAAAUUCUUGGAUUUAUGAAAGAUGAACAACUGCGAAAGCAUUUACCAAGGAUGUUUNCAUUA
rnacentral:rRNA from 1 species